AAUUAAUUUACAAAAAAGGGAUGCGGUCACUUUCGGAGUAAUACACGGAAUCGUCAUUCUCGUCUUCUGCAUCGUCUGCUUCAUCACCAUGGAAGGCGCCUGCUGUAAAAACCGCCGCUCCCUGCAUUAGAUCAAUCAGAUGUCGUUCUCAACUAUAAGACUCGUGAUUCUGUUUCUGGAUCUGUGCGUAGAGACACCGGACUCUCUCACUCAACGCCGGCGUGUGAGGAUCACGUGCAUCAUGACGGAGGUGCGUGUAGUCACUUGCAUGAUCACGAUCAUCAUCAUGAGGCGGUGAAGAUGAAGUUGCCGGAGGAGCUGGUUGAGGAGGAGGAUAUGAGGUUAUGUGGGUUUGAGCCUUGUCUUCAUCAUGAUCAUGAUCAUGAAUCAAGUUCUAAUCUUUCUGGAUUUGCAUUUUGGUUAGCUUGGCGUCGCUCAUUUGUCUGAUAUUCCUGCCAGUUAUGUUCGUCUACAGUUCAAGGGAAGCCUGCAAAAUGGUUUGUUGAUGCAUUGGCUUGACACACAACUGCAGCAGAUUUGGCCAGAUCACCCUAUCCUUUUUGACUUCUGGCGAAGAGUUUAGUAAGUCUAUGUAUACCAUUCCUGCAACAAACUUUAAUGCAGCGGCACCAUUUACAGAGCAUUCAUAUAUGUGCUCGUCACUUGUGAAAGUUAAUGUGGACAGGAAUGGAUGGAGCUCGACUUGUUCUUCUGAUCUAGCUGGUCGAAGAAUCCAUCUGUCUUGGUCAUACAGUUAAUGGACACCAAGUCUUUAGGCAGAUCUUCCCAAGAAUGUUCAAAGAUUACCCUUAGAAGACCAGUUAUGGUGCCAAAACAGUCAGAUUCUGUGGAUAGGAAAGCAUGGAGAGCAACCAGAUAACAUGGAUAUAUAACUUAAUCUGAUAUAUA